UACGGAGGAUGCGAGCGUUAUCCGGAUUUACUGGGUGUAAAGGGAGCGUAGACGGCCAGACAAGUCAGAAGUGAAAGCCCGCAGCUCAACUGCGGGACUGCUUUUGAAACUGCCAGGCUAGAGUGUCGGAGAGGUAAGUGGAAUUCCUAGUGUAGCGGUGAAAUGCGUAGAUAUUAGGAGGAACACCAGAGGCGAAGGCGGCUUUCUGGACAUUAACUGACGCUGAGGCUCGAAAGCGUGGGGAGCAAACAGG
rnacentral:rRNA from 1 species